rnacentral:lncRNA from 1 species
CAUGUCAUUACUAUACUCAUGCCAUAACAUGUAAUCACUAUACAUCACUAUACUCCUGCCAUGACAUGUAAUUACUAUACUCCUGCCAUGACAUGUCAUCACUAUACUCCUGCCAUGACAUGUAAUCACUAUACUCCUGCCAUGACAUGUAAUCACUAUACUCCUGCCAUGAAAUGUCAUUACUAUCUCCUGCCAUGACAUGUAAUUACUAUACUCCAGCCAUGACAUGUCACCCUACUCCUGCCAUGACAUGUAAUCACUAUACUCCUGCCAUGAAAUGUCAUCUAAUACUCCUGCCAUGACAUGUCAUACUAUAGUCCUGCUUGACAUGUAAUCAUAUACUCCUGCCAUGACAUGUAACACAUACACUACUCCUGCCAUGAACAUGUAAUCACUAUACUCCUGCCAUGAAAUGUCAUUACUAUACUCCUGCCAUGACAUGUAAUCACUAUACUCCGCCAUGAAAUGUCAUUACUAUACCCUGCCAUGACAUGUAAUUACUAUACUCCAGCCAUGA